GAUCUGUGGACUGCGCCUUUUGCUGAGCAGAGUUGAACAUCUUUUGGUGUGCACGCUUAAAUUCCUCCAUCAACUGCAAAACGAAGUUUCAAGAUUCUGAAGCUUGCGGAUGUCCGGAGUUUUGUCCUUUGGCGUUUCCGCUUUAGCGGCGUUGUUCAUUCUCUAUGAAAUAAAAAUAAUACGCAACGUGUGACAAUGAUGAAUGACCAGCAAUAAGGGAAAUGCGAAUAAUCAAUCACGAGAAUGAAAGUAAUUGAAAGUAAUAAAUAUAACGUGAUACUUUAUAAAAUGUAAUUUGAGUCCUAAACAUUUCUACGAGAACAUAUCUAUAGUAGAAAAUUUUUCAAAAAACGUAGUUUUGAGAAAAUAAAAAUAGAAGAUAAUCUAAGUAUCAAGUGGCAUACACGAGCAAAAGAUUAAAUUUUUUACGGCAUGUUAUAUAUCAGUAAAGCACUUUAACUCAUUGAUAAUGUUCAUUAUUUUUUAUCGCGAUAAACAUGAAGAGAAAUAAUAUAAAAGAUAUCAUAUAAGCAGAUCACAUAAGCAGAUCGAGCACCGAUAUCAGUGCAAAACAACAAUGAAGAUUAAAAAAUUAUGGACGCAUUCAAAAAAAAGGAAAGAUAUGGACCAUCGUUGAUAUGACAGAUACGAUAAUAUACUCACACACGACAUCUAUCUACCUGCUGUGCUCGCCUCUGUAACUCCUGUGUGAUGGCAGUGCUCAAAUCAGUGCUGGCGAUUGGCGAUGUCCUGGCGACAUCCUUGCGUGGCGUC